CCCGCUCACCGCCGCUACACCUCAACCCGCUCGCCGCCGCGGCUGCACCUCAGCUCGCUCGCCACCCACGCCGCCGCGGCCGCACCUCCCCCAGCCCGCUAGCCGCCCACAUCGGCGCCGCCGCUCGCCGCCCUGGCUGCAACCCAACUACCUCCGUCUCCCAUCCACGCCUGGAUCGACAUCUCCUCCAAUGGAUGCCGCCCCAACCACCUCACCCAACAGGACGCUGGCCCAGCCAACCUCAACAAGCCGUUUCUUGCCCUUGCCCGCCUCUACCUCCUCGAUGCAGGACGACUCUGACCCGCAUCUGCCUCCUGUUCGUGGACGGCGUUGGAGAACAGCGUUUCUAUAGCUCCGCAUCGGACGCGAGCGCGGCAUGGAGCAGCUGCCUCCUCUCCCGAGACGAGAAAGCCCAUAGCCCCCUCAAAUAGCAUGGAUGAACUUGCGUUUUGUGCAAUGUCACCAGUUCAUGAGGUACAAUAUGAGUGUAUUUUGGAAUUGAUUCAGAGGCAUGUUAAUUUUGGAGUAGAGUAUAUCUUGGAAUUGAUUCAGAUGCAUGUUAAUUUUGGAGUAGCUUGCAUUUUAUUCCACAGGAAUAAAAUUGAUAUACUCAAUUAACAAAUUCUUUUUUGAUAUGUUUGUAAUCAGUCAAUCAUUUAGAUAGAAUGAGUCUGGACCUCGUGGAGAAACAACAAUCGCCGGUAACCUUGAAAGUUUAUGUUCAAGGAAGAUGUUGGUUAAUUUCUUUGAGAUGGAGUGGUACAAAUGGUUCUAUUUUUUUUGCAUACUGGAUUUGUUCCCCUAUGGCUGGCUGCAUCAUCGUUUUAUCCGUGCAUGUGCCUGGAGGAGAUCAUCCUUUCAUCCGUGCAUGUGCUUGGAGGAGAUCCAGGAAUGUCCGGCAUGAGAAAGCUCAAAGCCGAGUCCUCCACCCAGGCCCUCCUUUGCAAGGUCGGCGAGGACACUGCUCUGUACAUGUGCUCCUCUCCCACCCCUCCACUGAUUUAAUGUGAAAUCUAAUUGGGAGGUAUUGAUAAGCACCAAUGUAUCCUUGGUUUAAUUAGUUCCCAUGUCUUGAGUUACUUUGAUCCUCUUGGUAAGAUCAAACCGAUGAAUACCUUUCAGGUCUAUCCGAUACGAAGUAAGCGAUACAAAUGCAAGGAUUGCACAUAAGUAAUUGGAUUUGACCCCAGUUAAUUUAUUGCCUGUUUAACAACGCAGAAAGAAGAGUUGCUACACCGGAACCUAGGCCAUGCAGUGAUUCAUAUUUUGGUUGCGCGGCUGUUUCUAUGCUGUUCAUCCGAGGUAAAUUUUAAAAUGAUGCAUUGCUUCACCCUGCUAUAUCCCGACGCUCUCAUAGUUUAAUCUAUCCGUGUAUACACAUCUUUCUUGGUGAUUGUAUUUUUCAUGUUGCCUGUCGAUGCAUCUCGCAACCUAACACGCAGAGCUAGAUAAAUUGUAGUUAUUGUUGUAUAACGAUUGGUUUUGGUAAAAUUUCAUGCGUUAUAUGUUUUUGUGGGUUUUGAUAAAACCACUUCUGAUCUUCAGAGAUAUAUGUUUGGUACUUGCUCUACACAUAUAUGCCUGGCGCUCCAGCUCGUGCAUUCAUUUGAUCUGACAUGACGUACAUGUACAGAGCAACUUUGUAUAGUGUUGUUAGCUGGUGGUCUAUAUAAUUUAAGGUAAUGUAUGUGACUUAAGAUGAUGCAUUCAUGAAUUAAGCAUGGAUCUUAGAUUGCACUGGGACUGCUUCCGAGGAUGCAGGUUUCCGAUCGUAAUAUAGACCUUUCAAAACAUUAUGUAUCAUGCCUGCACAGUACUUGAAACAUAAUUACACUGCAUAUAUUUAGCAAAUUUGCAUACUACUAUUGUUUAAGUAAAAAAAUGUGAACUUCAAAUUAUAUAGUGGCUUCAGAUUAUUUUCUCAAAAACCAAGAGAUCUUUUGGGGUUUGCAGUAGUCUGGUUUACAAGAGAUAGCCACAUGUCUUUAUAAAUUUAAAUUGUGAGCAAAACAUAGUGGAACAGAACUGAAGCUAUUUCCUUCAGUAUCGUCUAUGUCUACUUGACGUUUCCAUAGAAGCUAAUGUAACUAUCCCGCAACCUGAAAAUACCGUAUGAUGUCCAGAGAAGAUUUCUGCUUAGAUGUGAAUGGUUCUACUGCUGUUCUAAGUGAUUUCUUGAAGUUCUUCCUAUUUUCCCAUAUCAUCUGCAAGCUGACCAAAUUAAUCCUUAUUUGUUUGCCAGGUUUGUCAAACAUCGCUUCAUGUUGUAGUGCAUUUUUUCCUUUCAAAAUCCAUUUUAUGCCAUUUGGAUUUAUAACUGUCAGUUUAUUAUUUGUGGAGAACAGGAGAUAAGGAAAAGGGGAGGGGAAAAACAGUAAUUCUAGCAACUGGCGUUUGUUCCGUACCAAAGCUCGGGAGUUCAUUCUAUUGUGUGCAUCAGAAGUCUAUACAUAUGAGUUGGCACUCGGAGAGUGACAUAGAUUUUCUUGAUGUUAUGAUUUUUUUUAUCUACUAUUACUUGAAUCUUUCUUACCUGAGUUUUUUUUCUUGGAGUUCUUCCUGUUUCCCAUAUCAUCUGCUCUAUAUAAGCUGCUCCAUAAAAUUAAGUACGCGCAUCCUCCUUUAUUGGCCAAGUUUGUUCUAUUAUACUAAUCUGAAGUCUGUACAAAGGACUUGGGACGGAGUGAAGCAGAUUUGCUUGAA